rnacentral:rRNA from 1 species
AGCAGCCGCGGUAAUUCCAGCUCCAAUAGCGUAUAUUAAAGUUGUUGCAGUUAAAAAGCUCGUAGUUGAACUUCGGGGUCUACCCAUUGGUCAGGCUUAAUUGUCUGUACUGGUGAGAUGGAUCUCUACCUUCUGAGGAACUUUCAUGCCAUUUAUUUGGUGUGGUUGGAAAUCAGGACUGUUACUUUGAAAAAAUUAGAGUGUUUAAAGCAGACUAUCGUCUGAAUACAUUAGCAUGGAAUAAUGAAAUAGGACGGACUGAUUCUAUUUCGUUGGUUCUAGGAUCACCGUAAUGAUUAAUAGGGAUAGUUGGGGGCAUUAGUAUUCAAUUGUCAGAGGUGAAAUUCUGGAUUUAUGAAGACUAACUGCUGCGAAAGCAUUUGCCAAGGAUGUUUUCAUU